rnacentral:rRNA from 1 species
GAUCAUGGCUCAGGAUGAACGCUGACGGCGUGCUUAACACAUGCAAGUCGAGCGAAGCGCUUAAGUCUGAUUCUUCGGAUGAAGACUUUUGUGACUGAGCGGCGGACGGGUGAGUAACGCGUGGGUAACCUGCCUCAUACAGGGGGAUAACAGUUAGAAAUGACUGCUAAUACCGCAUAAGACCACGGUACCGCAUGGUACAGUGGUAAAAACUCCGGUGGUAUGAGAUGGACCCGCG